rnacentral:rRNA from 1 species
UUCUCCCGAGAAGUGAUGAAGCUUGCUUCAGAAUGACUCAUUUGAAUCACUUAGUGGCGGACGGGUGAGUAACGCGUGGGUAACCUGCCCUAUACUGGGGGAUAGCAGUUGGAAACGACUGAUAAUACCGCAUAAGCACACAGCAUCGCAUGUUGCAGUGUGAAAAACUCCGGUGGUAUAGGAUGGACCCGCGUCUGAUUAGCUAGUUGGUGAGGUAACGGCCCACCAAGGCGACGAUCAGUAGCCGGCCUGAGAGGGUGUACGGCCACAUUGGGACUGAGACACGGCCCAAACUCCUACGGGAGGCAGCAGUGGGGAAUAUUGGACAAUGGGGGCAACCCUGAUCCAGCGACGCCGCGUGAGCGAAGAAGUAUUUCGGUAUGUAAAGCUCUAUCAGCAGGGAAGAUAAUGACGGUACCUGACUAAGAAGCACCGGCUAAAUACGUGCCAGCAGCCGCGGUAAUACGUAUGGUGCAAGCGUUAUCCGGAUUUACUGGGUGUAAAGGGUGCGUAGGUGGCAUGGUAAGUCAGAUGUGAAAACUGUGGGCUCAACCCAAAGACUGCAUUUGAAACUGCCGAGCUAGAGUACAGGAGAGGAAAGUGGAAUUCCUAGUGUAGCGGUGAAAUGCGUAGAUAUUAGGAGGAACACCAGUGGCGAAGGCGGCUUUCUGGACUGUUACUGACACUGAGGCACGAAAGCGUGGGGAGCAA